CCUACGGGAGGCAGCAGUGGGGAAUAUUGCACAAUGGGCGAAAGCCUGAUGCAGCAACGCCGCGUGAAGGAAGACGGUUUUCGGAUUGUAAACUUCUAUCAAAAGGGAAGAAAGAAAUGACGGUACCUAAAUAAGAAGCCCCGGCUAACUGCGUGCCAGCAACCGCGGGAAUACGUAGGGGGCAAGCGUUAACCGGAAUUACUGGGUGUAAAGGGAGAGUAGGCGGCAAGGUAAGCGAUAGGUGAAAGCCUUAAGCUUAACUAAAGGAUUGCAUAACGAACUAUCUAGCUAGAGUACAGGAGAGGAAAGUGGAAUUCCUAGUGUAGCGGGGAAAUGCGUAGAUAUUAGGAAGAACACCAGUGGCGAAGGCGGCUUUCUGGCAUGAAACUGACGCUGAGGCUCGAAAGCGUGGGGAGCGAACAGGAUUAGAUACCCUAGUAGUC
rnacentral:rRNA from 1 species